AUUGAACGCUGGCGGCAGGCCUAACACAUGCAAGUCGAGCGGAGCGGCGGACGGGUGAGUAAUGCCUAGGAAUCUGCCUGUUAGUGGGGGAUACCGUCCGGAAACGGGACCUAAUAACGCAUACUUUCAGGUGAGCCUCGGUCGGAUUCGCUAGAUGGUGGGGUAAAGGCCUACCAAGGCGACGAUCCCAAACUGGUCUGAGAGGAUGAUCGGUCACACUGGAACGGAGACACGGCCCAGACUCCUACGGGAGGCAGCAGUGGGGAAUAUUGGACAAUGGGCGAAAGCCUGAUCCAGCCAUGCCGCGUGUGUGAAGAAGGUCUUCGGAUUGUAAAGCACUUUAAGUUGGGAGGCGUUACCAACAGAAUAAGCACCGGCUAACUUCGUGCCAGCAGCCGCGGUAAUUC
rnacentral:rRNA from 1 species